AGAGUUUGAUCCUGGCUCAGAAUCAACGCUGGCGGCGCGCUUAACACAUGCAAGUCGCACGAGAAAGGGGCAACCUGAGUAAAGUGGCGUACGGGUGAGUAACACGUGGAUCAUCUACCUUCUAGUGGGGAAUAACCCUGGGAAACCGGGGCUAAUACCGCAUAAGCCCGUGAGGGGAAGGCAGCAAUGCGCUGGAAGAG
rnacentral:rRNA from 1 species